CUUCCCAAUAUACCCUAACAGAUUCCCUUGGGUCUUCCCAAUGUACCCUAACAGAUUCCCUUCUUCCCGACGUAUCCUAACAGUUUCCCUUGGGUCUUCCCAAUGUACCCUAGCAGAUUCCCUAGGGUCUUCCCGAUGUACCCUAGAGAUUCCCUUGGGAGUUCCUUUUGUCUUCUCACACUACUCUAUCUAACAAUACUAAGUGAAAUGAGCUACUUUUAGUUCUGGAAAUUUCAGUUGAAGCUACAGGCUAACAACAUUAAAAUGAGAAGUAGUUCACAAAUUUGCUUUCCCUUAAAGGUGGUAACAAUGAGCUUAAACUGUAGAAUAUAGUUGGACUUCUCCUUUGUUGGUUUCCAAAAUACCGGGGAUAAUGUAUAUACUGGUGUCAAGACCUAGUUCUUUGGCUCACGUAUACUUAGGUUUUAAUAGUAUAACUUGGUUUUUGUUAAUUGGUGUUUUGGGCUCAUUGUGUGAAGGGUUCUGCCGGGUAGGACCUUGCACCUUUGCCAGACUGGCUCCGGUCACACUAUUAGGCCCACAAAUCACCUGCAGAUGGACUGGUGGUCUGCUCUCAACCCUUGUUCACAUGUAUUAAACAUUAUUUGCAAAAGGUGGAUUCUGUGGCUAAUCAGGUACGUACAGGGCACUGCCAUGUCAAUACCCUGAUCAGGUUUAGACAGAGAGCUCCAUUUAGGUUUGGGUUAAUCCUAAUAUUGGUUUGGAAUUAAUGAAAUGUUGGCAUUCACUGUCAGUUACAGCACCAUACUGUGAUUUUGAAUUAAGUAGACAGUAAUUCAAUAUUAUUACUCUUGAGAAUGAAAUCCUCUCUUUUGACACCAUAGUGCCCUUUCUAUAAUUUUUUUUACUUAAUAUUCUUCUUGGCCUUAUAUUUAAAUCCCUAUGCAAUUAAUGUUUUAUAUCUGCAUUUAAAAAAGAAAUGUCAUUUUAAGUGAUCCUUGUAAGUAGCACCUAUUGCCUUGGUGAGUAGAUGAAUUAAGGAUUUUGUACUGUGAUUUGUAUUCACUGCCCCAGUUCUCAAACCAUCGAAGCCUUGCUGUUGUGUGAAUCCCUGUCGUGGUGAAUACCACCCAGCUGGAUCUUUGAACCCAGCAAGGGAAUGGUGCAAUUCUGUCACCUGGAACAUGGUGUUGCGUCGUGUGGGUGUUCAGACUGUCACCUGGAACAUGGCGUUGCGUCGUGUGGGUGUUCAGACUGUCACCUGGAACAUGGCGUUGCGUCGUGUGGGUGUUCAGACCACGAAUGACUGUCGCUGUAAUUGCACUCUGUCUCGGCUUUGCCGUGUGACUUGGAAAGCAGCUAGCAUUGUCCCUUGUCUGCCCAAGUUACAUACAAUCUCUAUGCAUUGAUCUGAGACUCACUGAUGGCUUGGGGAGGGGACACAGAACGGAAUAUCCACAUCUGAGGCUUGUCUCCCCCCCGUUCAGACCUCUUAACUGUUGCCUGUGUACACGAUGUGCCCUGAUUUCCGGCCCACUGGCCACAGUACUGUGCCUGAUCCGUGUGCUGUGCUUGUUUUCCCAGGCCACAAACCAAGUGUUCAUAACUAGGUGAACUGUAGACUAGUAACAUUGGAUGCUUUUAAAUGUUUGCUCCUUUUUAAACAAAAACUAAAACCCAGAACUGAAUUUUGAGGUGGAUUUUUAAAUAAUAAAAAAAAAGAUUGA